rnacentral:rRNA from 1 species
UAGGGAAUCUUGGACAAUGGGCGAAAGCCUGAUCCAGCCAUGCCGCGUGAGUGAUGAAGGCCUUAGGGUUGUAAAGCUCUUUCGCCAGGGAAGAUAAUGACGGUACCUGGAUAAGAAGCCCCGGCAAACUUCGUGCCAGCAGCCGCGGUAAUACGAAGGGGGCUAGCGUUGUUCGGAAUUACUGGGCGUAAAGCGCACGUAGGCGGCUUUCCAAGUUGGAGGUGAAAUCCCCGGGCUUAACUCGGGAACUGCCUCCAAAAACUGGACGGCUCGAGUCCGAGAGAGGUGAGUGGAAUUUCCAGUGUAGAGGUGAAAUUCGUAGAUAUUGGAAAGAACACCAGUGGCGAAGGCGGCUCACUGGCUCGGUACUGACGCUGAGGUGCGACAGCGUGGGGGAGCAAACAGGAUUAGAUACCCUGGUAGUCCACGCCGUAAACGAUGGGUGCUAGUUGUCAGGCAGCUUGCUGUUUGGUGACGCAGCUAACGCAUUAAGCACCCCGCCUGGGGGAGUACGGUCGCAAGAUUAAAACUCAAAGGAAUUGACGGGGUCAUAGCUGUUUCCU